GGCACAUGGUUAACCUGGACAAGUACCGGUGGGCGCUCGCCUGGGGUGGGGCGCGGGGCCGGGCCCUGGGAGGGGGCCGUGUUGUUCUGCGCUGACGCCGCCGAUCCUCGCAGGGGCUUCGUGUGCAUCGUCACCAACGUGGCCUCCCAGUGAGGCAAGACCGAAGUAAACUACACUCAGCUCGUCGACCUGCACGCCCGAUACGCUGAGUGUGGUUUGCGGAUCCUGGCCUUCCCGUGUAACCAGUUCGGGAAGCAGGAGCCAGGGAGUAACG
rnacentral:sRNA from 1 species